UAGGGAAUAUUGCACAAUGGGCGAAAGCCUGAUGCAGCGACGCCGCGUGAGUGAAGAAGUUCUUCGGAACGUAAAACUCUGUCCUUUGGGACGAAAGAAAUGACGGUACCAAAGGAGGAAGCCCCGGCUAACUACGUGCCAGCAGCCGCGGUAAUACGUAGGGGGCAAGCGUUGUCCGGAAUUACUGGGCGUAAAGAGCACGUAGGCGGUAACCUAAGUCAGAUGUGAAAGACCAGGGCUUAACUCUGGGGUUGCAUACGAAACUGGGUAACUAGAGUGCAGGAGAGGAAAGUGGAAUUCCUAGUGUAGCAGUGAAAUGCGUAGAUAUCGAGAGGAACACUCGUGGCGAAGGCGGGUUCCUGGACAUUAACUGACGCUGAGGUACGAAGGCUAGGGUAGCGAAAG
rnacentral:rRNA from 1 species